UGGGGAAUAUUGCACAAUGGGCGCAAGCCUGAUGCAGCCAUGCCGCGUGUAUGAAGAAGGCCUUCGGGUUGUAAAGUACUUUCAGCGGGGAGGAAGGCGAUAAGGUUAAUAAUCUUGUCGAUUGACGUUACCCGCAGAAGAAGCACCGGCUAACUCCGUGCCAGCAGCCGCGGUAAUACGGAGGGUGCAAGCGUUAAUCGGAAUUACUGGGCGUAAAGCGCACGCAGGCGGUCUGUCAAGUCGGAUGUGAAAUCCCCGGGCUCAACCUGGGAACUGCAUUCGAAACUGGCAGGCUAGAGUCUUGUAGAGGGGGGUAGAAUUCCAGGUGUAGCGGUGAAAUGCGUAGAGAUCUGGAGGAAUACCGGUGGCGAAGGCGGCCCCCUGGACAAAGACUGACGCUCAGGUGCGAAAGCGUGGGGAGCAAACA
rnacentral:rRNA from 1 species